UAAUAAGCUAUUAAGGGCUAAUGGUGGAUGCCUAGACUGUAAGAGGCGAUGAAAGACGUAUUAGGCUGCGAUAAGCCUCGGGGAGCUGCCAAAGAGCUUUGAUCCGGGGAUUUCUGAAUGGGGCAACCCAAUAUAAUGAGAAUUAUAUUACCCUACGGGGAGCGAACCUAGUGAAGUGAAACAUCUCAGUAGCUAGAGGAAGAGAAAUCAAACGAGAUUCCCAAAGUAGCGGCGAGCGAAAUGGGAUUAGGACAAACCCAAUGC
rnacentral:rRNA from 1 species